rnacentral:rRNA from 1 species
GUGAAAGAGAACCUGAAACCGUAUGCCUACAAGAAGUCAGAGCCCGUUAAGGGGUGAUGGCGUGCCUUUUGUAGAAUGAACCGGCGAGUUGCGACAGACUGCGAGGUUAAGGAGGAAAGACCGGAGCCGAAGCGAAAGCGAGUCUUAAGAGGGCGAAAGUAGGAUGUUGCAGACCCGAAACCGGGUGAUCUAGCCAUGAGCAGGUUGAAGUUGAGGUGAAACUCAAUGGAGGACCGAACCGACUACCGUUGAAAAGUUAGCGGAUGACUUGUGGCUAGGGGAGAAAUUCCAAUCGAACCCGGAGAUAGCUGGUUCUCCCCGAAAUAGCUUUAGGGCUAGCGUCGGAAAGAACCUUAGUGAAGGUAGAGCACUGAAUGUGUGAUGGCCCCAUCCCGGGGUACUGAAUACAAUCAAACUGCGAAUGUCAUUAAGGAUGUCCGGCAGUCAGACUGUGAGUGAUAAGGUCCAUGGUCAAGAGGGAAACAGCCCAGACCGCCAGUUAAGGUCCCAAAAUACAGGCUAAGUGGAAAAGGAUGUGGGGAUGCCCAGACAACUAGGAGGUUGGCUCAGAAGCAGCCAUCCUUUAAAGAGUGCGUAACAGCUCACUAGUCGAGUGACCCUGCGCCGAAAAUGUACCGGGGCUAAGCCUGAUACCGAAACUGCGGAUUGUAGGAAACUAUAGUGGUAGGGGAGCGUUGUAUACGAGCAGAAGCCGUACCGUGAGGAGCGGUGGAUUGUAUAGAAGUGAGAAUGCCGGUGUGAGUAGCGAGAUGUAGGUGAGAAUCCUACACACCGAAAGCCCAAGGAUUCCAGGGGAAGGUUCGUCCGCCCUGGGUAAGUCGGGACCUAACGCGAGGCCGAAAGGCGUAGUGGAUGGAAAGCAGGCGAAAGAUUCCUGCACCCGUAUAUGGAGCGAAGGAGUGACGGAGACGGAUAGUGUGACCCUCUUAAUGGAUUGAGGGCGAAGCGAAGCGGCUGGUUACCAGGCAAAUCCGGUAACCAUAAGGCUAGAGCGUGACAGGUAAGCGAAAUCUUAGGAAAGUAGCGAAGCACAUGAUGACGGCUUCCAGGAAAAGCUUCUGGCAAUGCAUAUGCGGCCCGUACCAAAACCGACACAGGUGGGCAGGGAGAGAAUCCCGAGGUGAGCGAGAGAACUGUUGCCAAGGAACUCGGCAAAAUGACUCCGUAAGUUAGCGAGAAGGAGUGCUUAAGCAAUUAAGCCGCAGUGAAGAGGCCCAAGCGACUGUUUAACUAAAACACAGCUCUCUGCGAAGUCGCAAGACGAAGUAUAGGGGGUGACACCUGCCCGGUGCUGGAAGGUUAAGAGGAUCUGUUAAGAGCGAUCUGAAGCAGUGAUCCGAAGCCCCAGUGAACGGCGGCCGUAACUAUAACGGUCCUAAGGUAGCGAAAUUCCUUGUCAGGUAAGUUCUGACCCGCACGAAAGGUGUAACGAUUUGGGCGCUGUCUCGGCAGCAGACUCGGUGAAAUCUUAGUACCUGUGAAAAUGCAGGUUACCCGCAACUAGACGGAAAGACCCCAUGGAGCUUUACUGCAGCCUGAUAUUGAAUUCUGGUCAUACAUGUACAGGAUAGGUGGGAGACAAAGAGACGUGCACGCCAGUGUACGAGGAGUCGACGUUGGGAUACCACUCUUGUGUGACCGGGGUUCUAACCUGGUAUCGAGAACAGGUACGGGGAGAGUGUCAGGUGGGCAGUUUGACUGGGGCGGUCGCCUCCCAAAGAGUAACGGAGGCGCCCAAAGGUACGCUCAGAUUGGAUGGAAACCAAUCGUCGAGUGCAAUUGCAGAAGCGUGCUUGACUGUGAGACAGACAAGUCGAACAGGGACGAAAGUCGGGAAUAGUGAUCCGGCGGUGCCGAAUGGAAGGGCCGUCGCUCAACGGAUAAAAGCUACCCUGG